GGCGGAGUAGCUCAGGUGGUUAGAGCAGCGGAAUCAUAAUCCGCGUGUCGGGAGUUCAAGUCUCUCCUCCGCUACCA
rnacentral:tRNA from 1 species